rnacentral:lncRNA from 1 species
UGGUUCUUGUGGUGUAUCAUCUGAGUCAUGAGGUUUUCCGCAGAGGUCCUCAAGAUUGGAGAGUUUGGGAUUGUCCAUGAAUGAAGAACAAUUUUGGCGGUGAAACUGUGUGCCUUGUGGUAUUGGACCUUGGAGAUUGUUGUGGGCGAAGUUCAUAGUUGACAAAGAGAAGAGCUCACCAAGAUCUGGGGGGAUCUGACCUGACAGAUGAUUCUUGGAUACAUCUAAUGACUCGAGAUUCGUCAAAUAUGCCAAUGAUUGAGGUAUAUUGCUUGUGAAAGCAUUAUUUGACAAGUUGAGAUAACGUAAUCCUUUCAGCAAGCCAGUGGAUUCAGGGAUCUUUCCUUCAAACAUGUUGCUUGAAAAAUCAAUGGAUGUAUAAUCUUCACGGAUCUUCUCAAACUCUGUCUCUACACCUUUGUGCACUAUUUCCAUUGAACUAGUGUAAGAACCAAAACCCCUGGGGAAAUACACUAAGUUAGAUCCCAUGUACGGGUCAUCAUCUGGGCUUAAUGUAUUCCUUUGAAUCAUUUCAAGCCAAUUGGAAAAAUAGAAAGUAGGCAAGGUUCCACUGAAGUCAUUAUGUGAGACAUCAAUGACUUUUAACGUUUGAAACUCAGUGAAUAUUAAUGGCCCAUAGAAUUGGUUUGAUCUGAGGAUGAGAAUCUGUAACUGUAGAGAACCCAACCAAGAUGGAAACGUGUCCUUGAAUUUGUUUCCUUCCACAUUCAACAAUUCCAUGUUUGUGCAAUUGAUUAGGGAUUUAGGGAGUUUUCCUUCCAACCGGUUGCGGCUAACAUCAAGUUCCAUUAAUCUAGAAGCAUUAACAAAUACAUCUGGAAAAAUCCCACUGAAAUUGUUGUUUCGUAGAUUAAGCACUCUAAGUGAUACAGCGAGACUCCUUACACAUGGAGGAACUGAGCCGUUGAAGCUAUUGUUGGACAAAUCUAAGAAAUCCAAUAAUCCAAGCUUGCAAAUCCAGUGGGGAAAUGGUCCAUGGAAUGAAUUCGAAUCAAGACGCAACUCACGCAUUUGUGCUUGAUCCAUCAUAACUUGAGAUGAUUUUCCGAAACUACUAAACGAGUUGUGAGAAAGCUUCAGCGAUUCUAGUCUCAGUAAGCAACCUGGAACUUUGCCUUCUAACUUAUUGUUGGAAAGAUCUAACUCUGCGAGUUUGAGAAAUUUGGAUAUCGAUUCAGGGAUUUGGCCAUCGAAUUUGUUAUCAGAAAGGUCUAGAACACCAAGGUUGGACGAUGACAGUAUAUUCCCAAAAUCAAUAGUUCCCUCGAACUGGUUUCUCGCCAAAUCAGCCCAUUGUAACGAAGGCAUCGUAAACAAGGUCGUAGGGAAAGGCCCAGAAAAUGAGUUGUUAUGGAGAUCUAAUUCUUUGAGUGUGAGAAAUUUAGAUAUGGAUUCAGGGAUUCGGCCAUCGAAUUUGUUAUCAGCAAGGUAUAGAAAUUGAAGCCUAGAAAAUAAAGAUACGUUCCCAAAAUCUAUGGGUCCCGUGAAGUUAUUUUCUCCCAGAUUAACCCACUCUAACGAAGGAAUGGUGAACAAGUAUGUAGGAAAAGACCCGAAAAAUGAGUUUCCGCUCACUUCAAAAAUCUUCAAGCUGUGGAAUCGACUCAUGUCGGGAAGAGGCUCGGGUUCAAAGUAGUUAUAACUGAGAUCGAGUGUGAACAAUUGUGUAGAAUUGGCAAAUAAGACAGAAAAUUUGCCACUUAACUUGUUUCCGUAAAGUGUGAGGUCUCUUAGUUGGGUUAAAAUUCCAAUUGAAACUGGAACUUGACCAACUAAUUUAUUAACCGAAAUGUGAAGUUGGAUGAGAUGAGAAAGGUUCCCAAAUGAAGAAGGAAUCUCUCCGUAGAGAUUGCAAUUAGAAAGGAUUAGCGUUUGAAGAUACGGGAGUUUGAAAAGACCACUAUUUGAUUUCAAAGAGUUGUUGAGAGCGACGUUUAUAAGUUCAAGUGAAAUCACCUGGCCAGAUUCAGCAUCGCACGUGAUACCCCACCAAGAACAGCAAUCACUACUCUUGUUCCAUGAACUCAUAUCGUAAUCAUCAUUCGAGGAAGACUUCAUAUCUGCUUUAGGAAACUCGUGUAUGAACUCGAGAAGAGCAUCUCGUUGGUCAUGGCGGCAAAGAUGGACGGUAGGAGAAGCAAAAGUGUGUAGAACGAGGAUAUACAAGGUAAUAACAAUACCAGAAAAGCAAUAAAAUUGGCAUGGAAUCAUUAUUACUUUUUUUUUAGUUUGUGAUGGGUUCUGAUUAUGGCUUCUGCAGCUCUCUUUAAAAAGAAAGAAACAGAAAAAUCAAUUGUAGAGCUCUAAUGACUUUGGGUCUUCCACCUCAUAAAUUUAAUCCAUCACACACUCUAUUGACUUGACGCUUGUCGAUUUAAUUAUCUUUAAUAUCAUUUCGUGUGGAAAAAAAAACACGAAAUAACCAACAAAGCAUAUAAAAGUACAAGGAGUCACGCUAGGGCUUGACUUGGUUUGUGAUGAUUAUAAACUGCGGUAGUUAGCUUUUGUAGUAUUGUCAAAUGAUAUAUUCAUUAGUUUUUGAUCAUAUAUGCUUAGUAUAAUAGACUAAGUUUAGUAUAUGUUGUAGUCUUGUACGUACGUAGAUCAUAUAUGUGUUCGACUAAAUGUCUCAUUUGAACUUUUUUUCAUCUACCGUAGAUGGAAUUUUGUACAUGUAUAUUAGUCUCAUCUUAUGUGUGAAACGUGAACUAAUGGAUGAAACGUUGUUAUCUAUCAACAGAGAUCUUAAAAAUGUUGAUUUUUCUAAAUAAUAGAUUAAGUUUAAUAUAUGUUGUAGUCUUGUAAAACAAUCUUUCAUACUAUUCUGGAUAUAUAUGUAGGGUUGCCGCAUUAUUCAGCCAUCUACUUAUCGCUUUCUCAGCAUUACACCCCGAACUUUUCGGCUCUUAAAACAACAUCACAAACAACUUUUUUCUACAAAAAACAUCCUAAACUUUAAUUUUUAUACAAUUUCCUACGCCUCCAACUGAAAUCGAUAAUUUCGAUCAUUAACCGGAUUUAUCCAAUAAAUCGCGUUUUACAUGAUUGCGAUUAGGAUAAUCCGAGUACAAACCAUUACCCGAUACUAAACAACGUCGUUUUCUUUUUCUUUUUUAACAUCAACUAAAUCAAUAUGAGAUCAAAGUUUGUUAUUCGCUGAAGCAAUCAAAAUUCCAAAAAACGAAUUCGAUAACGAACAGUAAAUUAAAACAGUUCCAUCACCAAUUCAAACCCACAAUUCAACUAAAAAUUACUAUUGUACUUGCAAAGCAAUUGAGCAACGGUAGAAACACCGGUAUGGUAUGGAUUCUUUUUUCGUCUUCGACGUAAAUGUAGUUACAUCUUCGCCACACCAACAUUUCACUGGAACACCAGGACGAGAAGCUUGACGAUGAUAAAGGUUUGAACCCGAAGAGCUCAUAUCGUUUUCUGGAAUUUUGAUUGCUUCAACGAAGAACAAACCUAGAUCUCAAAUUGAUUUAGUCGAUGUUAAAAAAGAAAAAGAAAACAACGUCGUCUAGUAUCGAAUAAUGGUUGUACUCGGAUUAUCCUAAUCGCAAUCAUGUAAAACGCGAUUUUAUUGGUUAAAUCGGUUUAAUGAUCGUCAUCAUCUGAUUAAUUGGAGGCGUAGGAAAUUGUAUAAAAAUUAAAGUUUAGUAUGUUUUAUGUAGAAAAAAGUUGUUUGUGAUGUUGUUUUAAGAGCCGAAAAGUUUGGGGUGAAAUGCUGAGAAAGCGAUAAGUAGAGGGCUGAAUAAUGCGACAACCCUAUAUAUGUAUAUAACGUGAACUAGCAAAUUUCAUAAAUUCUAAACAAAAAUUAACAAGCUAAGUGUCCCACUAAACUACUUCCCCACCAGAGAGUCUCUAAAUUAGAGCUCUAGAUGCCAUAUCGAAACUUACAUACGAGAAAUGAAAAAGCCGAUAUAAACAUUGUCAAACAGCAAGUUGAUACGUUAUAAUAGAGAAACACUAAGAACCAAGGUUAUAUAUUCUCAGUUAUAUUGCAUAAAUUCAUUGAAUAAAAACGUAACAUCAGGAUUCAGAACCAUAGACUAAAACACAAAACUUUGCCUCUGAGUUCGUUCAUUCAUUGGAGAGUCCACGAGAAAAGUCUCAAGCUACAUACCAAUUCACUUGCUUACUAAUAGUAAGUUACUAUAUACAUACCGAUUCACUUGCUCCGGAACCUAUAUUCAACAUUUUUAUUGCCUUUGUUAAACUUGUAUAUCGCUAAUGUAUAUGAAAGAAACAAAAAAUGUUCCGGAAAAUCGGCACUCUUGGACACACUCAACUUAUGAUUCUGAUCAAGGGGAAACGCAACUGGUCGUGCUCCAAGAAGACCAACUUCAGAAAUAAUGUCCAGAGCAUAUUUACGCUGACAUAAAUAUAUACCGGAAGGACUGCGAGCAACUUCAAUCCCCAAGAAAUACUUGCAAACCCCUAAAUCUUUCAUCCGGAAACACGAGCUAAGAUAAUCUUUAAAUUUCUGAAUUAAUGCCGGUGAGCUCCCAGUAAUGACAAGAUCAUCAACAUACACUAGAACAUUUAGUUGAGAAUUAUGACUGUGCAUAGUGAAUAACGAGUAGUCUGUAGUACAUUGAGUAAAACCAUAGUCGCAAAGUGAGGUCGUCAGUUUUUCGAACCAACAUCGAGGGGACUGUCGAAGACCAUACAGAGAUUUGUGAAGACGACAAGCUUGAUAGGGCUUACUUGAUUGAAAUCCAGGGGGUAAUUUCAUAUAAACCUCCUCAGUCAAAUCACCAUGGAGGAAAGCAUUAUGUACGUUCAUCUGAUGCACUUCCCAAUUCUUUGCAGCAGACACUUCAAUAACCAUACGAACUGUAGUCAUCUUCGCAACCGGAGCAAAAGUUUUGUCAUAAUCCUCUCCUUCAAUUUGUUUAUUUCCAAGAACCACCAACCUAGCUUUAUGUCGUUCUAUGGUACCAUCGGAUUUGUAUUUGAUGGUGUAUACCCAUUUACAACCUAUUGCUUUCUUUCCAGGAGGUAAUUCUUCCACAGUCCACAUUUGCGUUUCUUCACAAGCAUCAAUCUCGGAACGCAUAGCCUGGCGAAAAUUUUCAUCAAGAACAGCCUGUGCAUACGUCUUUGGUAUCGUUGUGCUCGUAAUGGCAUGGAGAUACGCACAAUGAGAAGCAGAGAACCGUGAAGAAGACAAGUAAUUGUCAAGUGGAUAUAGACAAUCACUCUCGGGAGCAACCAUGUGAGCAGUGGCUGGAUUCUUGAUUGUGGGACAAACAUAGUCACUAAAUUUCUCGGGAGGUUUACGCACACGCUCACUACGACGAAGAGAAACAAUAGGUGCAUCCGUGUUUGUUGAAGUUACGUCUGCAGGUGGGAAAGAAGACAACGAUGUACCAGGAAUAGAGGCAUUCGUAGGCACAUAAGACGGGAGAGAAGAUGACUGUUGCUCAUUUGUCGGAAUUGCAGUCGAAGGAACCGUAUCGAUCGGUCCAACUGAAGGAUCGAUCGAUCCAACUGAGCAAUCGAUCGGUACAACCGAGUGAUCGAUCGGUUCAGGCACAUCUGCCGGCGAUGAAAGAACAGGAUCAUCAACAUGAUUCACGGGUGGAGUUUCGAAGUCAUCAUCAACCACAAAUGUAGAAGGAGGGGAAGAAUGAGAGUGAGAAGAAACAUUAUCCACCAGAGAUGCAUAUGGGAAUUGAUCUUCACAGAAUAUAACAUCACGUGAAACAGAGACCUUCCCAGUUUCUAAGUCAUAAACUCUCCACCCUUUCUUACCAAAUGGAUAGCCAAGAAACAGAGAACGUGUACUGCGGCUUGCAAACUUAUCACCCCGCUGAUGUUGAUUGUGAACAUAACAAAGACAACCAAAAACACGAAGAUGUGAGAGAGGGGGAGGACGAUCAUAAAGCAGCUCAGAUGGAGUCUUACCGGCUAAAGGAGCUGCCGGUGUGCGAUUAAUAAUGCAUCCUGCUGCCAAGACACUUUGUCCCCAAAAUUCAAUCGGUAAAGAGGCUUGAAAACGCAACGCUCGUGCAAUGUUAAGUAUGUGACGAUGCUUCCUUUCUACACGACCAUUUUGCUGGGGAGUACCAACACAUGAUGUCUCAUGGAUAAUUCCUUUUUCUCGAAAAUACUGAGUGAGACAGAUAAACUCAGUUCCAUUGUCACUACGGAUGCUUUGCACUUGUUUACAGAACUGUCUUUCAACCAUAGCUAUGAAAAUUUUCAAAUUCUCUGGUGCGACUUGUUUAUUUGGAAGAAGAUAAAUCCAAAGUGCUCGUGAGAAAUCGUCGAGAAUAGUGAGAAAAUAUGUAGAACCACACAACGCGGGAGUCCGAUAUGGUCCCCAAAGAUCACAGUGAACAAGUUCAAAAACACGAGUUGUUUUAUUCAAACUAGUCGGAAAUGUGUCACGACACUGUUUGGAGCGAAUACAAAUAUCACAUGCCUUGUGAUCAAACUUGGAACUACUACUUAAAACCAGAAAACGAUAAAGUUUCCAAAGCCUUCGAAGACGGGUGUCCCAAGCGUUGAUGCCAUAACUCCGGAGAAGUUAUCUUUGUCGUAUGCAACGCGGCUGCAACAUCCAUACUCUGAAAGAAAUACAAACCAUUAUGGUGCUCCCCCGACCCAAUCAGCAUCCUGGUAAUGCGGUCCUGGAUCACACACAAUGUAUCAGUAAUCUGGAAAACACAGCCACUAUCUCUUGCCAACUGUGAAACUGAAAUCAAGAGGCAGUCUAAACCAUCAACAAAAUAUACACAUCUUGAAGACUCAAAUGUGCACCCAACUGAACUGUUCCUUGUUGAAUAGACAUAACAUGUUCACCAUUUGGAAGCUUAAUGAGAACAUGAGGCAUAGUACAAAUAUUAUCCAAGGUGGAGAUAGAACCCGUCAUAUGGUGUGAUGCACCUGUAUCAAUGAUCCAAGAGGUGAUCGGAAUCUUACCAGUAAGUGUUGUGGAAGUUUUGUCACGUUCAUCAAGAACCAGCUUCAAGCUCUCCCAUUGUGCAUUAGAAAUCCCAAUAAGGCCAACACGAUCAGCAAGACUUAACACCGAAUUAGCUUGGUGAACAACCGUCGUAGUGUUAGGUGCAGCUGCAACAACGGCGUGAGCCCGAGCUGUCGUAUUUCCACGGCCUUUCCCCGCAGAAGACGCUUGAUGUGUAGAUGAUGAGUUUGAACGUGAGCGUGAAGAUGAAGCAGCCCGUUCAACCCACCAAUCCGGAUACCCAAUUGUUCGAAAACAAUUUUCAGCAAGAUGACCUGUUUUCCCACAGCUAGCACACACAGGACGAGUACGAUUAGUCGGAGCCGAUCUCGAUGAAGGUUGAGUUUGAACAGCAAAACUCAUUUCUUCCACACGAUUAACAAGAAUACGACCAGCAGAUUUGGCAUCCUCGUCUUGCGUUAGAAUCUGAUAUGCCUCAUCAAGUGUAGGUAAAGGAACACGAGACAAUAAGGAGAACUUCACAGCUCCAUAGAUCGUUUCAUCAAGCCCCAUCAAAAAUUGAUGAAGUUUGUCUUCCUCUCUCUCUUUAGCGAUCUCUUCCACUGUUUUUGCUUGUUGGUAAUCAGACAAACUCCUCCAUAACUGAGUCAACUUCCCAUAAUAAUCUUGCAUCGUAAGUCCCUUUUGACUACAAUUAGCGAGUUCAGCUUUAAGCCUUUGAACACGUUGGCCAUUUUGGACUGAAAAACGCUGUUUAAUAUGUUUCCAGAGAUCAUGAGCAUUCUCAUGAUUGGAGAGAGUCGUCCUGAGAUUCUCAUCAAUCGUCAACUUCAGCCAAGAAAUCACCAUGGCAUUGUUUGCGCCCCAAUCUUCAAGAUCCGCUGAAUUGGGAGAAGGUUCUGGAAUUGUCCCAUCCACAAAGCCGAAUUUCUUCCUCGCCAUGAGAGGAAGACGAAUGUUGGUAGACCACUCAGCAUAAUUAGGUCCACGAAGAAGAGGCUGAGAGAUAACAUUACCAGGAUUGUCUCCAGAAGACAAAUCAUACGGAUCUAUUGUACGGCGUGUCUUAUUUUGAACUCUAGCCAUUGCCAUCUCUUCACUCAUGAUACAAAACAAAACGAUUUGCAGAGAAGAUCUAGAGAGAAGAAGAAAAAAAAUGAAACAAGAUCAAGGAUCGAAAUAAACCAAAAAGUUUUGUAUAAUUUUGGCUUUUGGCUUUGAUACCAUGUCAGAGAACCAUAGCGGCGUAUAAAAGAAAUUCUCUGUUAUUGAUCAUUAGCCAAGGAGGCUUAGUAUAUAUACAAAUGAUAACUCUAAUCAUAUAGAUAAUAGAAAGACUAAUCUACCCAGAAAUGUGUAAAGACAUGUAACGGUUAUAUACAAACAUAUAACUCUAACAAAAAAAAAAACUAAUCACGAAUUUUUUUCUUUUUUCUUUUUGUGUAUUUCCUAUAAAAAAAUAAUAAUACAAGAAUAAUCUCUUCAUUACCCCAAAACACAAAAAGCCGCAUAUAUAACUCCAAAACCAGGAGACGUUGCAUAUAUCUUUCGAUACUCUUUGACAGCUUUCUCAUCUGAAAGAACACCGAAAUAAUCUUAACAUAUAUGCUCACGCGCGAACUUAACAAAUAUCUGAGAUCAAAGAACGUGACCUUUGCUACAAGUUUGAGAAGAGAAACCACGACAAGCUGGACUAAGACACAACGCCGCAGCGGAGACGGCAACACUGCACAACGACAGAUCUAAGAUUUGGAUACAUUAUGAGAAUUAAGGGUUUCGUUCUUACUUCACACGUAAUUAAGAUUCACCAUGCAAUCUUAACCAGUUUUGAUAGAUGUACGUAGACUCUAAUAAAUUUUGUACGUCACUCUCAUAUCAUAUUCGUCAGUCGUCAUGAAUCAUAAUUCAUAAUCAUAUGAUAUUCAAAGGUCCCGAAACGGUCACGGUAAUCCCGAUGACACGUUAAAGUGAGGAAACAACAUCGUAUGCUCAUUUUAUUAAUUAAGUUUCUCUUUUUUUUUGUAAUAAAGUUUUAGACUUUUCUGCGUCGUUUAAUAUGGUUUGAAAAAAAAAAGAAUAAAAGAGUUAAGUAUGUAAAAGAAACAAAAAAAGAAUUAAAGAGAUCCUACAGGAUUAUACAAAUUGUAUUAUAAGGUAGAAAAUGAUACUACUGGGGUGAGUGUAAUUAUCGAAAUCUAUGCCUUACUACAUUUGCGUUCCUUGUUAUGGAAUCUUUGAAAGACAAAAUAUUUUUUACUUGUUAAUUAGCUGAUCAGUGGACUUUAGAAAAAGAAAAAUACAAAUUUAAAGAAAUCUAUUUUGAAACGAAAUUUCCAACUAUUUUGAUUAUUCUUUUUCGAAACAACACGAUCGGUUAACACAAGGAAACGAAGCCAUCUCCAUGAGGUUGCGCAAUAAAGCAGCCGUGUUUCAUAAGCCAUCUCUUAUCUAUCACCUCCGGCGUAUAUAGCUUACCGGCUACCUACUCGCCACGUGAUGAGGUCAACACACAUAAUUUGAAAAGAUCAUUAUAAUAAAUUUGCAAUUUAGCUACAAAUAAUUUUUAAUCUAAUUGUAGCAAAAAUAUUAUACAGCUUAUAACAAAGAAUUUAUUUUUUAUUUUGGAGUAUAGUUCUUUUCCUUGAAUCAACUUGUUCGUCAUCUUUUUAACCAAUCUGAAUUCUAAAAAUAUGAACUUGCUCAUUUUCAUGACUAGAGACACUGUUACUAACUCUAUCGUCCUUCUUCAAAUAGAUUUUACAUAUCUAAUUUGUACGCUUCUAUUUCACUUCCACUUUAGUUUCCAAAAACCUAUAUGACCCAAACUGCCACGUAAGAAAUUUAUUACAAAAACAUAAAUUAGAAAAUUACAACAUAGAAAAGAGUUUUCGGAGAACACAUAUCGUGACAAAAUAUUACAAACACGUACAUAAGCCUGACAAAUGCUUAGAGAGAUGACAAGAGGAAGUGUUCAACGAGCGCUUCUGAUGAAAACUCUGGACUUUUUUCUACCAAACUUUUCCAUGAGCCACUCGUGCUUGUGUGAAACGAAGAUAUGUCCCAUCACCAAUCCACAAAAAACACCAGGUCCAUACGCUAUUGCCACUGCUAUCCAAUUAAUAACUGGUUCCUCAGGUUCUACCGAUUCCUGUGAUGUAAGAUUCGAGUCAUGAGGUUUUCCACAUACGUCCUCGAGAUUGGAGAGUUUGGGAUUGUCCAUGAAGGAAGAACAAUUUUGGCGCUGAAACUGUGUGCCUCGUGGUAUUGGACCUUCGAGAUUGUUGUGGGCAAAGUUCAUGGUUGACAAAAAGGAGAGCUCACCAAGAUCUCCAGGAAUCUGACCUGACAGCUGAUUCUGGGAUAAAUCUAAUGACUCAAGAAUUGUCAAAUUUGCCAAUGGUUGAGGUAUAUUGCUAGUGAAAGCAUUAUUCGACAUGUUGAGAUAACGUAAUUCUUUCAGCAAGCCAAUGGAUUCAGGGAUCUUUCCAUCAAACAUGUUGCUUGAAAAAUCAAUGGAUGUAUAAUCUGUACGGAUCUUCUCAAACUCUGUAUCUACACCUUUGUGCACCAUUUCCAUUGAACUAAUGUAAAAACCUGAACUGCUAAGGAUGUAAUAUCCCAUGUAUGAGUCAAAGCUUAAUGGAUUCAUUUGACUCAUUUCAAGCCAAUUGGAAAAAUAGAAAGUGGGCAAGGUUCCACUAAAGUCAUUAUGUGAGAUAUCAAUGACUUUUAAUGUUUGAAACCCAGUGGAGCUAAUUGGCCCAUAUAAUUGGUUUGAUCGUAGGAUGAGGACACUUAACCGUGGAAGAGAACCCAACCAAGAUGGAAACUUGUCAUUGAAUUUGUUUACUUCCACAUUCAAUAGUCUCAUGAAUGUGCAAUUGAUCAAGGAUUCAGGGAGUCUUCCUUCCAACCGAUUGCGACUAACAUCAAGUGCCUGUAAAUGAAAAGCAUUGGCAAACACAUCUGGUAGAAUCCCACUGAAAUUGUUCUUUCGUAGGUUAAGCACUUGAAGUCUUUCAACAAAACUCCUUACACAUGGAGGAACCGAGCCGUUGAAGCUAUUGUUGGACAAGUCUAAGAGCUCCAGCGAUCUAAGCAUGCAGAUCCAGCGGGGAAAUGGUCCAUGGAAUGAAUUCGAAUCAAGACGCAACUCACGCAUUUGUGCUUGAUCCAUCAUAACUUGAGAUGAUUUUCCGAAACUACUAAACGAGUUGUGAGAAAGCUUCAGCGAUUCUAGUCUCAGUAAGCAACCUGGAACUUUGCCUUCUAACUUAUUGUUGGAAAGAUCUAACUCUGCGAGUUUGAGAAAUUUGGAUAUCGAUUCAGGGAUUUGGCCAUCGAAUUUGUUAUCAGAAAGGUCUAGAACACCAAGGUUGGACGAUGACAGUAUAUUCCCAAAAUCAAUAGUUCCCUCGAACUGGUUUCUCGCCAAAUCAGCCCAUUGUAACGAAGGCAUCGUAAACAAGGUCGUAGGGAAAGGCCCAGAAAAUGAGUUGUUAUGGAGAUCUAAUUCUUUGAGUGUGAGAAAUUUAGAUAUGGAUUCAGGGAUUCGGCCAUCGAAUUUGUUAUCAGCAAGGUAUAGAAAUUGAAGCCUAGAAAAUAAAGAUACGUUCCCAAAAUCUAUGGGUCCCGUGAAGUUAUUUUCUCCCAGAUUAACCCACUCUAACAAAGGAAUCGUGAACAAGGAUGUAGGAAACGACCCGGAAAAUGAGUUUCCACGCACAUAAAAAAACUUCAAGUUGUGGAAUUGACUCAUGUCGGGUAGAAUCUCGGGUUCAAAGUAGUUAUCAUUGAGAUCGAGUUCGAACAAUUUCGUGAAGUUGGUAAAAAAAACAGAAAAUUUGCCACUUAACUCGUUUCCAUAAAGGGUAAGGGACCUAAGUUGGGUUAAGUUUCCAACUGAAGCAGGAACUUGACCAACUAAUAUGUUAUACACAAGUGUAAGCUCCAUGAGAUCAGAAAGGUUUCCAAAUGAAGAAAGAAUCUCUCCGUAGAGAUUGCACUUUAAAAUGGAUAGCCUUUGAAGAUAUUGGAGUUUGAAAAGACCACUGUUUGGUUUCAAAGAGUUGUUGAGAGCGAGGUUAAAAAGUUCAAGUGAAAUCACCUGGCCAGAUUUAGCAUCGCAUUUGACAGCCCCCCAAGAACAGCAAUCACUACUCUUGUUCCAUGAACUCAUAUCGUAAGCGCUACUAGAAGACUUCAUAUCUGCUUUAGGAAACUCGUGUUUGAACUCGAGAAGAGCAUCUCGUUGGUCAUGGCGGCAAAGAUGGACGGUAGGAGAAGCAAGAGUGUGUAGAACGACAGAAUCAAAGAAGAAGAAAUACAAAGUAACAACAAUACCAGAAAAGCAUGGAAUCAUUAUUACCAUUUACGUUUUUUUUUUUAGUUUAUGUAGUUUGUGAUGGGUUAUGAUUAUGGCUUCUAUAGCUCUCUUUAAAAAGAAAGAAAUAGAAAAUCAAUUGUGGAUCUCUAAUGACUUUGCGUCAACUCGUCUGUCUUCGGCCACCUCAUAAAUUUAAUCCAUCACACACUCUAUUGACUUGACCUCGUCGAUUUCAUUAUCUUAAAAAAACAAUAAUCGUGUGGAAGAUUUUAAAGCAGCAUGAAUUAAGUAAUUCUAUGAAUUAGGGAAAUACAAAUUAUAAAAAAAUAAAAAUAAUUAAAUAACCAAAAAAGCAUAUAAAAUUCUUGAUAACUACACACCGUAGCCGUAAGAUUAAGGAGUUAGGGCUUGAGUUGGUUUGAGAUAAAUAAACUUUAGUAGUUAGGACACCCUCAUCAAUGGUAUCUUAGAGGCUAAAUUAAGAUAGGAAAGUAUCUAAGAUACCAUUGAUGAGGAUUUUUUGUAGUUUAUAUUAAGCUUGAUAUAUAUUCCCAAAUUCCAAAUUGCAAUAUAUCUUCUUUUUGACAGGUUUAGUGAACACCACAAACAUGACUAGUUUGAGUGGCGGGCGAGUUGAUUUCAUUGUUAUCUAUCUAGAGAGUUUUUAAAAAAAUUGAUUAAUAGAAUUGAGUUUGUAAAACAAUCUUUGUGAGAAAAAUAAGUAUAAUUUAAUAUUUUAAUGAAUCAUAAAAAUCAAUGUAAAAGAAAUAUUCAAAUAUAAAGUUCACUGACUCAUUCCUUUCACCUUACUGAUCUGUGUCACAAAAACCAUUGACUCAUUCAUGCCACCUAAUCCUAGGCAUGUCAAUCGGGCUAGCCCGGCCCGGCUCGGCCCGAAACCCGUAAAGCCCUCAUAUAUGUGAGCCCGGCCCGAAAAAUUUCCGAGCCUAUAUUUCAAAGCCCGGCCCGGCCCUAACAGGGCUACAGGGCUUUUUGGGCUUUUUUGAGCUUUAUUUACCGAUAAAAAAAUCAAUUUCUAAGUUCAUAAUAGUUUUUUCAAAACUAUAUUUAAAGGUCUACUAUAAAAAUAAUGCAUCAAAUUUUAAAUAACUUAUCAAUAUUCAAUAAAACUAACUUAAUUUAAGAGAAAAAAUAAAAGCCAAAUAAAUUAUUUACACUUUAACCCAAUAAAACAUGGAACUAAAAUACUUUAAAGUAUAAGAUAGAGUCAAAAUUUAAUAGAUAUUUUGAUGAUUUCAAAAUCAUGAUAUUUAUAUAUAUAUUUAGUUUUAGCUUUGUAUAAAAAUUUUAAAAGUAAUAAGUAAGACUAGUAAGUAAAUAUGAAAACUAUAACAUUAAUCAAAUCUUUUAAUCAAACUAAAAUAUUCAAAAAAUUCAAAAUAUAUUUGUAUAAGGGCUUUUCGGGCCGGCCCGAGCCCGACCGGGCUAAGCCCAAAAAACCCUUUAGCCCGAAUGGGCUUAGCCCAAAAGGCCCGAUUUUUUCUGGACAUAUAUAUUUAAGCCCGAGCCCGAUGUUUUUCAGAACCGGGCCAAACUAGCCCGCGGGCUUUAGACCUAAUUGACAUGCCUACCUAAUCCACCACAGACACACCACAUAUUCUCUUAAGUUAACCGACCUUGUCGAGUUCAUUACCUUUCAUACAAAACUUCAAACAAAAUUUAAAAAGUGUCCCACUAAACUACUUUCCCACCAGAGUCUCUAAAUUACAAAGCUCUAGAUGCCAGAUCGAAACUUACAUACAAGAAAUGGAAUGGCCAAUAUAAACCGUCAAAUUACAAGGUUAUAUAUUCUCAAUUAUAUUUUUUUUGCUAACUGAUUCUCAGUUAUAUUGCAUACCAAAUUACCAAGUACCACAUAAAUUCACUGAAUAAAAACGUAACAUUCAGAACCAUAUAGACUAAAACACAAAACUCUGCCUCUGAAUUCAUUCAUUGGAGAGUCCACGAGAAAAGUCUAUAUACAUACCAAUUCACUUGCUCCGGAACCUAUAUUCGACCUUUUUCUUGCCUUUGUUUAACUUGUACAUUGCUAUGUAGAUGAAAGAAAUAAAAAAUAAAAAGAAUUAAUCACGAAUGAUUUUUUUUUUGUGUGUGUAUUUUCUAUAUAAAAAAUAAUAUAAGAAGAAUCUCUUUCAUUACACCAAACACAAAAAGUCGCAUAUAUAACUCCAAAACCAGGAGACAUUGCAUAUAUCUUUCUAUACUCUUUGACAGCUUUUUCAUCUGAAAGAACAUCGAAUAAAACUUAACAUAUAUAUAUGCUGGACGAGAGAAGUAGUGAUAUAUAAAUCUGAGAUAUAUAAAAAGAGUCCAAAUUAAGAACCUUUGCUACCAGUUGGCGAAGAAAAACCACGACGAGCUGGACGUGACAAAACGCCGCAGCGGAGACGGUGACACUGCACAACGACAGAUCUAAGAUUUGGAUACAUUAUUGGAAUAAAGGGUUUCGUUCUUCCUCGUCUCUGAGUUCUUCGAAACAGCUAUGAAUAUAAUAAGUUCUAUGGUAACGGCUAAGAUUUGGAUACGUUAUGGGAAUUAAGCUGACCUAGCUUGCGCUCCAAGGAUAUUUCCUUUUCUUUUUUACUGUCAAUAUUAUGAGUUUAUGGUAUAUGGUAUGAGUUUGUGAUUGCAUGUCAAUACCAAUAAGAAUUAUUUUAAUUUUGAUUUUAAUUUUAUGAGCCAAACAUGUAAUGAUGCUAACAUGUCAUCAAAGCCACACAAAUUUUCUCUGUAUUUCUUUCUCAAACACAUUUAUUUGCAAAUAAUUAUAAUACAUAUUUAUUAUUUUAAUAUUAAUUGCCUAACUUACAAAAUCCAAAACUUACAAAAUCCAAAACUUACAAAAAAAAAACUACAUAAGAAAUCAUAUAUUAUACAUCACUUUUGAAUGUGAACAAACAUUUAAAUAUAUAUAUAUAUAUAUAUAUAUAUAUAUAUAUAUAUAUAUAUAUAUCCAUAUAUAAGAAAUUAAUAUAUCAAAAUAAAAUAUAUAUUUUUGUAAAAAGAAUUCUAUUGAAACCAUAAUUUAAAAUUUUCAACACAACAGUAAAAUCAAUAAAAAUUAAUUUUGGAAAGAGCUGCAUUAGCCAAAAUCCCCUAUGCUGUAUAUUGAAAUUUGAAAGCAUAAACACGUCGAUUAUGGAACGACCACAUUUAGAAAGAAAAAAAAAACACUCUUAAUAAUAUCGUUCGAUUACGGCUUCAAAGAUGUUUAUUAGAAACCCAUGGAAUAGAACAAUACAAGACACGAAAGAGUGCUUUUGAGAACACAUUGUGACAAAUUAUUACAAACACGUACAUAUGAUUUAUGCUUACAACGAGGACAAGAGAAAGUGUUCAACUAGCGCUUUUGAUUACUCCGUUGUGCUGUGCUUGUUUUUCCGGAACUUCUCCAUGAACCACUCAUGCUUGUGUGAGUGUGACACGAAGAUAUGUCCAAUCACCAAUCCGCAAAAAACACCAGGUCCGUACGCUAUUGCGGCUGCUAUCCAGUUAAUCACUUGUUCUUCGGGCUCCGACCAUUCAUGUGGUGUAAGAUUUGGGGCAGGAGGUUUUCCACAUAUUCCUUCAAGAUCGUAGAGUCCGGAGUUGCUCAUGAAUGAAGAACAAUUUUGGCUUUGAAACUGGGUGCCUUGUGGUAUUGGACCUACGAGUUUGUUGUGUGAGAAAUUCAUGGUUGAUAAAAAGGAGAGCGUACCAAGAUCUCGAGGAAUUUGACCUAACAGUUGAUUCCGGGAUAGGUCUAAUGCCUCGAGGUUAUUCAGCUUUGCCAACGAUUGAGGUAUGUCACUUGUGAAUGCAUUACUUGACAAGUUGAGUAGACGCAACCCCUUCAACAAUCCAAUGGAGUCUGGAAUUUUUCCACCAAAUUUGUUUCCUGAAAAGUCAAUGGCUAUGAAGUCUUCUCGGAUUCUUGAAAAUUCUGUUUCUACUCCUUUGUGCACAAAUUCCAUAGAAUUACGGUAGGUUGCAACAUACACCAUGAAAUCUUCCAUGUACAUGUUGUCGUAUUGUGAUGUGGCCAUGGCACUCCAACUGGAAAAAUAGAAAGCUGGUAUGGUUCCACUGAAGUCAUUUUGUGAGAUAUCAAUGACUUUUAGGCUUUGAAACCCUAUGGAGGCUUGGCGAUCAUAUAGCGGCCCAUAGAAUUUAUUUGAUCGGAGGAUGAGGACGUUUAACGAUGGUAGAGAGCCCAACCAAGAUGGAAAUUUAUCCUUGAAUUUGUUGCUUCCCACAUUCAAAUGUCUCAUAGCUUUGCAAUUUAUCAAGGACUUUGAAAGCUUUCCUUCCAACUGAUUCCAGCUAAUAUCAAGUGUCUUUAAAUUUGUAGCAUUGACAAACAUAUCAGGAAAAGUUCCACUGAAACUGUUGUAUCCGAGAUUAAGGACUUCAAGAUUAGUGUUAUUCCUUAAACAUGAAGGAAUCAAGCCACUAAAGUUAUUGAUGGACAUAUCUAAGAAAACUAACGAUGUAAGAUCGCAGAUCCAGUGGGGAAAUGGUCCUUGGAAUGAAUUCGAUAAAAGACUCAACAAAUUCAUUUCUGUUCCUGCGAAAACUUGAGAUGAUUUUCCAAAACUGCUAAAAGAGUUGUAAGAAAGCUUCACCACUUGCAAUCUCCAUAAGCAAUGUGGUACUUCGCCUUCAAACUUAUUAUGGGAGAGAUCAAGGUAACGGAGGUUGACUAGCUGUGAUAUUGAUCUAGGUAUUGGCCCAAUGAAAUUGUUGAAACUAAGAUCUAAGAUGUUGAGAUUGAAAAGUUUAGAUAUAGAUUCAGGGAUUGGACCAUCACAUUGGUUGCUAGAAAGGGACAGAGAAUGGAGCCUAGAUGAUGAAGAUGUAUUCCUAAACUCUAUAGGUCCCUUGAACUGGUUUCCCUUGGAAUAAAUCACUUGUAACGAAGAAAUCGUGAACAAGAAUGAAGGAAAAGGCCCAGAAAAUGAGUUCCCGCUCAAAAAAAUAUACUCCAAAUUGUGGAGUCUACGCAUCUCAAGUGGGAGCUCGGAUUCAAAGUAGUUAUUAGUGAGGUGAAGAGUAGAAAGUUUUGUUAAAUUGGCAAAUGAAACAGGAAUCUUUCCACUUAAGUGGUUAUCAGUGAGGCUCAAGGAGCUUAGUUGGGUCAAGUUUCCAAUUGAAGUUGGAAGUUGACCAACUAAUUCAUUUUGGGAAAGUUCAAGAUAAAUGAGCUGAGAAAGGUUUCCUAAUGAAGAAGGAAUCUCCCCAUAAAGAUUGCACUUUCUAAGGGUUAGGCUUUGAAGAUAAUUGAGUUUGAAAAGGCCACUAUUUGGUUUCAUAGUGUUGUUGAGAGAGACAUUAUCAAGGUAAAGUGAAAUCACCUCACCAGAUCUGGCAUUGCACGUGACACCUUCCCAAGAACAGCAGUCAAUGCUAUUGUUCCAAGAACUCAUAUAACUUACAGAAAACUCCUUUUUGAACUCCAAAAGAGCAUCUCUCUGGUCAUGGCGGCAAAACUGGAGCGUAGGAGAAGCAAACAAGAAGAAGAAAAAGAUGGUAACAACAAUCCCAUAUAAGGAAUAAGACUGGCGACGAAUCAUUGUAACUUUUUUUUUCUUUAGUUUUUGUGGUGUUUGUAGGUUAUUUGAGUAUGGCUUAUGCAACUCUCUUUAAAUAGGAAAAACAAAAGAGAUCAAUUUUGGAGUUUGGUUCUUGACUUUGGAAAAAUAUGGCGUCUAAACUCAUGAAUCUUCUUUUCCUCUGUGAUUAUGUAUGAUCCGUGAUUUGUGCCCUAAAGAGCCAAAUAAAAAUUUGAAAAUUAAUUCAUUCCUUCCACCACAAACUCUCAUGACUUGACCGACCUUGUUUAGUUCUCUCUUCUUUCUUGCUAUCUUGAAUUGACCUACCUUGUCGAGUUCUUUAUCUCUCGAUUACUAUUCUAAACAAUAUAUGUUCCUAAUAAGAAGGUCUUGAAAAAAAGCAGGAGGAACCUCUGAAUUCUAAGCUCAUAUAUUACUGAGCUUCUAGGUCGUGUUAAUUGUUCAAAAAUCGUCACUAAAAAGAACCCUGGUUACAGAAUUGAAAGCUAAUCUCUUUUUUUUUAUAAAGAUUAUAUACGAACUUAACAUUACUAGACGUUCAUCUGCGAUUAUUACUAGAUUCAAAGGACUAUAUGAGUUUGUGCUUUCACAUGAAAGGUCAAGUGUGAAUGCGGAUUGGAACGGACUUGGUUUAUACAAGGAAACAACUUCUUGCAUGUGUGAACACAAGUUAUUUUAGUGUAACACGAAUCACUACCUUUUAAUUUUAAUUAUGAAAUGGACAUAUUUCUCAAUUUACAUCCCCAAGAAAAUUUCUUAUGAAAUUUCACGUACUACUAUAUCAUAAGUAACUAUUGCGUCAUUUUUCAUUAAAAAAACAAGCUUAUUACAAUCUACCAAUUUGUCAAUAGAAUUGUAAUGAAUAAAAAAAAAAAAAAACAAGCUAGGUGUAUGCAUGCAAAAUUCUAAAAAUAAAAUAAUGCAUGCAUGCAUCUGAUAUGUCGUGUCAAAUGAACGGUGUACGUAUAUAGUGCAAACUACUCUUAAUGAAGAAAAAUAAUGUAAAUUUGUAGGCCUAUAACGGUAGUUUAGUACUGGUUAUAUCGAAAGUGACGAUUUCAUUUAGAAACCAUGAAGGUCGAUCUAGAGUCAUUUACUGGUGAUAGUUUUUUUCCAGAAUAUUCGAUAGAAAAUCUAACGAUAAGAAAGAAGGCAAGAGGCAGUAAUUAAAAUACAAAAAAAAAAAGAAGAAGAUGAAUUCAAACCCAUCUUAUAAUGUAAACGUGUAUGUGGGUAUAUCAAGCAAAGCUUGAUGAACCUAAUUAAAACCCUAGAAAACUUUUUUUUAUAUGGUGGAGGUUAAUUAUAAAACAAGACACUAAUGAAAGAGACACUAUUAUUGAUUGGAAUAAAGAGUCAAUAUUGAAAUGAAAAAAAAAGACUUUCUAAAAUUCUACAAAUUCUUUAAAAAUAUUUUUUUUAGCUUCUCAAUUGUUCUGAAAUUUGUAUUAAUCGCUCAUAUUUGCUGAAAAUUUGGAUUAAAUCAUUUUAAAAUUUUAGACACCGUUCGUAUAUAACGAUAUUUUCUUGUAGUUACCCUUAAAUAUUUCUGAAAAUUAGUAUACAAAUAUCAUACAUUAAUUCUUAAGGCGUAUAUAUAAGUAUAUAUUUCUGGAAUUUCACAAUCAAAAUCGUUAAGUACUAUACAAUAUAUCAAUAUAAAUCUUAAUCACUAAAAAAUAUUCCUUCCUUGUAAUCUCAACGUGUAGAUUCACAGAUGAAAAUGGCCACAUCAAAGGGAAAUAAGGGAGCAUGCAUGAGUAACUUGUGCAAGAAGCAAGAUUGUUUGGGAAAUGAGAUUUGGAACACAAACUGGAGACUAGGGAAGUCUUCGUAUACGUAACGACAUUCAAGGCAUCUAAUAUUCUUGACACAUCCGUCAAAGACGUUUAUUACAGAACCAUUUUUAGAAUAUUACAAAACACAAACGCGUUAUUAGAGAACACUGAUAGCAAAUUCUUACAAACUUCACAAAUGCUUAUAAUUAAGAGGACAAGCGAAAGUGUUCAACGAGCACUUCUGAUGACUGCUCUGGUCUUGUUUCUACCGAACUUUUCCAUGAACCACUCAUUCGGGUGUGAAACAAAGAUAUGUCCAAACACCAAUCCACAGAAAACACCAGGCCCAUACGCUAUUGCCGCUGCUAUCCAGUGAAUCACUUAUUCUUUAGACUCCGACAAUUCCUCUGGUUCUUGUGGUAUAAGAUUUGGGACAUGCGGUUUUCCACAGAUUUCAUCUAGACCGUAGAGUUUGAGGUUGUCCAUGAAUGAAGAACAGUUUUGGCUUUGAAACUGUGUGCCUCGUGGUAAUGGACCUUCCAGAUUGUUGUGGGAGAAGUUUAUGACUGAUAGAAAAGAGAGGGUACCAAGAUCUUGAGGAAUUUGACCAGUCAGCUGAUUCCGGGAUAGGUCUAACGCUUCAAGAUUUCUCAAAUGUACCAAUGAUGGAGGUAUAUUGCUUGUAAAUGCAUUACCAGACAAGUUGAGUACACACAAUUCCUUCAAAUAUCCAAUAGAUUCGGGGAUUUUUCCAUAAAAUUUGUUUUCUGAAAAGUCAAUGGCUGUGAAGUCUUUUCUCACCCCCUCAAACUCUGUCUCUACUCCUUUAUGCACCAUAUCCAUUGAAUCUUGGUAGUUACCCAUAUGACUGAUGUAAUCUUCCAUGUACAUGUCAUAAUCUAGUGCGUUUGAUGUGGCCAUGUCACGCCAUUUCGAAAAGUAGAAAGUUGGCAAGGCUCCAGUGAAGUUGUUAUGUGAGACAUCAAUAACUUUUAAGUUUCUAAACCCAAGGGCUACGUGGCGAUGAUACAGAGACCCAUAAAAUUGGUUUGAUCGGAGGAUGACAACGUUUAAAGAUGACACAGAACCCAACCAAGAUGGAAACUUGUCCUUGAAGUUGUUGCUCUCCACAUUCAAAAGUUUCAUGACUUUGCAAUUGAUUAAGGAUUUUGGAAGUCUUCCUUCCAAUUGGUUGCGCCUAACAUCAAGUGUUUUUAAAGUAGUAGCGCCAACAAACAUAUCAGGAAGGAUUCCACUAAAAUUGUUAUUAUGUAGAAUAAGCCUUUCAAGGUUAUUGGUGGCAUUCCUUAAGCAUGAAGGAAUUGAGCCACUGAAGCUAUUAUUGGACAUAUCUAAGAGCUCUAAAGAUCUAAGCUUGCAUAUCCAACGGGGAAAUGGUCCUUGAAAUGAAUUUGACUCAAGACUCAACACACGCAUUUGAGCUCUAUCUGAAACUUCUAAUGACUCUCCAAUACUACUAAAAGAGUUGUAAGAAAGCGACAACACUGACAAUCUUGAUAAGCAGCCUGGUACUAUUCCUUCCAUCUUAUUAUAAGAAAGAUCAAGGACAACUAGUUUGAGUAAAUGUGAUACAGAUUUUGGGAUUAGUCCAAUGAAAUUGUUGUUUGUAAGACUAAUUGCUUUGAGAUUUGAAAAUUUAGAUAUUGAUUCAGGGAUUGCACCAUCAAAUUUGUUAUCGCCAAGGUUCAGAACAAUAAGCCUAGGAGAUAAAGUUGUAUUCCCAAAGUCUAUAUGUCCCUAAAUUAACUCUUUGUAACGAAGAAAUAGUGAACAAAGACGUAGGAAAAGGCCCGAAAAAUGAGUUUCCACUCACAGCAAAAGUCUGCAAGUUGCGGAGUCCACUCAUGUGAGGUGGGAGCUCUGAUUCGAAGUAGUUAUCAUGAAGGUCGAGCAUGAAAAGUUCCGUUAAAUUGGUAAAUGAAGUAGGAAUAGCACCACUUAAUGUGUUUUCACUAAGGUCUAGGUGCCUAAGAUGGGUUAGGUUUCCAAUUGAAUUUGGAACUUGACCUACGAAUCUAUUGGAGACAAGAUUGAGUUUCGUGAGAUGAGAAAGGUUUCCUAAGGAAGAAGGAAUCUCUCCAUAGAGAUAGCAGUUUUCAAGGUUUAGCUUUUGAAGAUAUCGGAGUUUAAAAAGACCACUAUUUUGUUUCAAAGAAUUGUUGAGGAAGACGGUAUUAAGGUAAAGUGAAAUCACCUCGCCAGAUUUAGCAUCGCACGUGACACCCUUCUAAUAACAACAAUCACUGGUCUUGUUCCAUAAACUCAUCAACGAUGGAAAUUUAGGAUCUAGGUUGGAUUGAUUGACCGGAAACUCGUGUUUGAACUGCAAAAGAGCAUCCCUCUGGUCAUGGCGGCAAUAAUGAAGCUUAGGAGAAGCAAAUGUGUGUAGAACGAAGAAAACCAAAAAGAGGGAAGAAAACGUAACAACAAUCCCGGAGAAGCAAUAAGAUUGUUGUGGAAUCAUAAUCACUUUUUCAGUUUGUGUGUGCGGUAAGUAAGUAAAUGGCUGGCUUCUACGUAUGUCUUUAAAAAGAAAAUUUAAAAAAAAAAAACAAAAUAAGUUUUUGGAGUUUAGUUCUUGACUUUAAAACUCUUCGGUCUUCUUAUCCUAUAUAAGCCUCUAUGCUCACUGAUCAAUGAAUAUGUGCCAGUUGUGUGAGACUUCUCCACAUAGACUUCAGACUUGUCUGACUUAUUCUUUCUUUAUUAUCUACCACAUAAUCCUAAAAACAUAAGGUAGGCAAUUUCAUAAACUCCAAACAUUAUCUUAUCGAUUAGAAACAAUUACUAAGUGAUGCAAAAUUGUAAGACCUUGCAAAAGCAUCCAGUAGCAAACUUAGUCGUAAAAUAUCGAAAGUGUGUUGACAUAGAACAUCCAAUUUCAGCACCAUCAACGUACAAUCAUUGACCAUAGUUUACAGAAAUACAUAGAUAAGUAAAGAUAUCCUAUAAAGGUAAAAAUAAUGAGAAAAUUUGACAUAAAGCAACUCUCCGAUGUGGAUGAAGCCGUCAAAGCCGAGACAAGUAAAUAAGACGAGGAAGGCACCACCGGUUCAAGAGAAAAGUUCACCACCCAAAUCUACCGCUUCUCUGACAAAGGGUUGUAAAAAUACGGAGAAACAAAAUACCUACCAUCAAACCAUAUAUUGGAUAUUCAAAAGUUGCUUCAUAGACUUUUAUCAUCCUUGGUUGGUUUGUUUAAUAUUAUGGUUAGGUUAAAGGAGUGGUCUUAAACACUCUGGAAGGAACGGAAUGGAGGUAAACCUUGCGAGGUAGCAAACACGGCAACAACGAUUAUUGGCUGCGUGGAUAGACAAAUCAAAAACCAAUUCAAUAGUCGGGGGAUAGACGAUACGAUAAAGGUUUCCAAAGGUGGCUGCAAUCUUUUUCUUUCAAAAUUUCAAAAUUUUUAGUCUUUUUCUUUCAAAUUUUAGAGGUGUCUAACAUGCUCUCUCAACUUUUAUUAUUCAAAUUUAAGUUGCACAAAUUGUAAAAACGAUAAAAAAAUUUUUUGAAUAUAAUUUAACAUUAAAUUCAAAAAAAAGAGUGAUCUUAACAAAUUUCAUAUCUUCAAAAUUUAUAGUUAACUCUUUUGUGUAUAGUGUAUUCUUUUUUUUUUUUGAUCUUAGAGCUUAAUUUUCAGGAGAUUUUAGUUGUCUAUCAUCUUUGUCUCCAUAUAGUAUAUGAAAAUUUGAAUCAAUUUAAAAGAUGAACCGCACUUAAACAUAUCUUUGGACCGUCUUAAACCGCCAACGUCAUUUAAGCCCAAACAAUUAUAUGACCGUUAGUGAUAUUCUGCUUAUUUAUUCCGAUUUUCAUAUAAACAACACAACGCUCUCUCUUAAUCAAAGGAACCGAUGAAUCAAAACCCUAAUUUCAUUCUCAUUCCCCUCUCGCUCUCACGUUGGCUCUAGUUCUAUGGCUUCAUUGCUUAAGUAUGGAAGCAACAAUGGAGGAAUCAAUCGGUAGUGUUGUGGUGAUGAUGAUGAUUGACUAUUCUUAUGAGUUUUUAUCGAUCGCGAUGGUUCGAUUUCAUUAUCGGAGGACGAAGGCUUGAAUCGGUAGGUUUCUUUUGCUCUCUUGUUAAUUAUUUUUCAUCGUUCUGUUUUGAAAUUUAGAUUCUUCUCUGUGAAAUUGAUUUCAAAUUCGUGGAUUUCAUAAGAAACAUAAUCUAGGGAUUACUGAUUCUCUGAUCUGUGGAAGCGAAGUGUUAGAAUUAGGAAUUGCAUUCUCAAUUCUAGGGUUUUUGAUUACUGAUUCUCUAAGUUUCAUCGUUUAUUGAUUGAUUCUCUUUGUCUAAAAUAUUUAGUCUUCAAUAGAUUACACUGUGCGUCGACUUUGUUUCUUUAUCUUUUAUGUGACUUCCCUUUGAUGCAGUUUUAGUUCCUGAAAUAGAGCAACGGAUCAUUCAAGGCAGAGCCUAUGUGUAACUCCAACUAUGUCUGUGAAGGAGUUUAAUGUCAGAUACAUAUGGCAGAAAAGGGGGAUUCCUCUGAAUUACGUUUUGACCAACUCAAGGAACUGUUCUGAAGCGGGUAGACUUUGCUACAGUAUCAAAGUAUUGGAUUCUGGAGAAUGCUCCAAUUAAUGACAUGGGAUAUGCUCGUUCAAUAGGUAUGAACUUUAAUUACUUGUAAUUGCUGCUUCGUAUUAAUUGAGUUUUCAAGGAAAGAUCUCCAUUUGUGAAAACUGCAGGCUGCUCAAUUUGUGGACCUAUUAGCUUGAACUUUCUACAAACCAAAGACUUCUUCUGUGGAGUUUGGAGCUAAUGAGGUGAUUCUCAUUACCAAUAGUUUUAACCAUUCCUUAAAAAGCUUAAUUCAUGCUUUUGAUUUGGGACAUGUUAGCUUGAAUUUGGUUUGGAUUCUGAAUUUGCACUUAAUGUUUUAUAUCAGGCUGGUUUAAUUGGCUCAGGAUGACUAUGUUCCUGAUGGUAUAACGAGAGUGAGACUGGUGUAACAGAAGUGAGACUGCCCAGAUUUUAUAAAUUCCCCAUGCUCAUAUUCAUCAAGCUGAAAAAUGCAUGGUCUCGAGGUAAUCAAACUUAUCUGUCUCAAUGUCCUUGUCCCUUUGAGUGAAUAUGUUAGUCCCAAUUUGGAUUCCUAGUCAUCGGGCUGCAAACAAAUGCCUCGUCCCAUACGAAGUAAUCAAAAUUACCUCUCAUGUCCAUGUCCUUGAUGGUAGAAAAAAAAUGAGACAGUCCAGGACUUUUAAAUGGGUUCCUAGUCACUUAUGUCAAAUGAGAUUCCCAUUGAUUUUGGGGUUUAGUCAUCUGACCCAAAAACAAAUGCCUCUAUUGAUGUAAAUCAGGUAAUUUCUUAACCCUUUGACGUGCUUAAAAUUAACUCUUCAGUAUCAAUAGGCAGAAGUAUGACAUCCAUGGAGCUUGUGGAUUUUUUUAUUCUGCAUAUGUGAGAUAAGGUAUGUGAAUUUCUAUUUCUUCUAUAUCUUAUGUUUCGUUGUACUACUUCUUUUAAGCUUAAUCUUCUUCUUUUUUGGUUUUAUGUCGUUUAAUAAAUUCAUGUUGUGUAAACAUUAGGAGUAUUAAACAACUUACAUAGAUAUUCUAACAUCACAUAUUCUUUGCAGGCGGCUGUUCUCCAGUUCUCAAAAAUCAACAUAAGACUUUCAGGUUAUUCUUUCACUGCCUUUUUAAGACUUUAGAAUAUAUCUUCUUCCUCAUGUUUCCAUUAUAAGAACUGGAAUAUCUUUCAAAAUUAUGCAUAUUGCCUCUGCUUAAGUUUCUUUCUUGUUUUAAAAUAAAGUAUAGUACGGAUUUAUCCUUAUUAGCAUACUUUCUCCAUGAAGGAAGAUGAAUUCCUAUUAAAAGUUACUUAGUAUAUGGUAAUUUCUAAUCCAAAUCAAAUGGUUCAGUUUAAACUUACUUAUUUUAUGUUUUUCUUCUAACUUUGUUUCCGAUGAUUGAUGAUGAUUUGUUACACUUGGUCUAUAGGUUGAAUAAUGCUUGUUUCAUUUGUAGUUAUAUUAUUUCUUCUUGAUGUUCUUGUUAUGGUUUUCCUUGGUUAUUCAGGUUUCAGCCACAAUUUGAUAGACUCGUGAGUCUAUCACAAUUGAAUGAAAUCAUGUUAUUAUUCCUGUUACGAUCAUCAUCAUGUAUAGUUUGCAUUUACUCAUUUUCUGAGUCUUAUGACUUUGUUUCUAAUGUUUGUACUCCUACCGGUUAGAUAAAAUUGGUAACAUUUAAUGCUUUUUAGUUUGCUAUACUAUUAGUUUUUUUUUUUAAUCUAGUUUUGUUCGUAAAAGUUCUGCGGAGACUGAAUUGGUGAGAGUAAAAGUAUUGGUAGUGUAAUAAUGUCUUUAGGUGACUACACCUCGUUGUCUGUUACUUCUCGGUUCUCUUCUCUCUAGAAAUAUAUUGUAUAAAGUUUGUCUUAACUCCUUUUAUGAGUCUUUUAACUCUGUUCUAAUGUUUGUGAUAGUAUCAUUUAGAUCGAGCAGAUUGCUACGUUUAUUUUUUUUUGUUUAGCUUGCGAUACUAAUUGUUUUGGGUUUAGUUCUGUUUGUAAAAGUUCUACGAAGGACUUAUAAGGUGGUGAGAAACAUAGUCAUUUAAAUUGUAAAUUGUGAUUCUUUAAAUUGUAAACUGUGAUUCUUUGUGUAAUUAUUCAUUUUGGAUUGUAAAUUAUGAAAAUCUGAAAGAUGCAUUUGUGACAUUCAAGUAUUAGUGGUAUAAUUGUUAUUGUGUGUUUUCUUUCAAGUGUUAUAGUGUAGGUAAACUAUGUGACAACUAAAUGUUGUUCCGGAAGGUCUUAUACUUGUGUGUGCUUACUAUAUGUAUAUGGUGUUCACACUACUGAUUGACCAUUGUCUUCUCUGACUUGUUUAAAAUGAAUAUACAAUUGAGUUUUUUUCUGUUUAGUUUAUAUCUGACUCUUUAGAAAAGCUUAUGUGUGAGAGAUCUUAUCAAGUUUGCCGUGAUGCAAUCCAUCUUUGUUAUGUUCUCUGACUUGUUUAAAAUGAUUGGUACGAUGAGUUUUUUAUGUGUAGUUUAUAUCUGAUUCUUAGAGAAGCUUAUGUCUGAGAAAUCUUGUUAGGUUUGCCGUGAUGCCAAAUUUGUCAUGUGUAAACAGAGGAAGUUGUAUGCAGCAAUCGAACAUAUGAAAAUAUUUGAUUAGAUGGAAGAGUGCAUUGUUCUCUCGGUGAAUUCCUUAUUGCUAAGUUACUUCCUUAGUUUCUUUGUCUCUCUUGAAAUAUAUUAUGUGGUACUUCUGUUUUGUAUGUUCAAGCUCUGUUGGUUAUCUUUUUGUGUUUAGUCUUAUGCUCUUUUCUUUAAGAUUUUUCAGUGAUGGAGUGUUUUAGAAUAUAUUUUUGAUGUCUUAAUUCUAGGUAUGCUUAAUUAUGUAUAUGAUUACGCAGUACCGAUUUGAUUGUUUUUUUUCUCUGUCUAAAUACAUUACACUUCUCAUUUUCAUUUUCGUAACGACAAGUGGUUGGUUUUCCAGUCUUUAUAACUAGUUUUGUUCUUAACCUUGAUCACUAGACUAUGCUCUGUUUCUCACUCGUUGAGUACUCUCUCUAUAAUAUUACUUGGGAUCUGACGUCUGGCGAGACGAAGCGGUUCAAAUCGAACCGUGAACUAAAUAAUUUUCUUUGUGCUAAUUUUAGUUAUUUUUCUUUUCACGUGAUGUUUAAGUUCUUUCUCAGUCUGCGUGAGUAAUCAAUUAGAUUGAGGAUAGAAACUUCACAAAUAUAGUUUCCUACACAGAAUGAGGGAGACAACGAGUAAAAAUGGGUAUAACCAAAUGGGAUUGUCAAAUCUGUAACAUUCGAACUAAAAUCAUAGGAAAUUCAGAAACCAAUGAGGGAAAGACUUCAAAUCAUAGGAAAUAAUUUUCAAAUCGGUGUCAAAUCUGUAACCGAGAUGAAUUGGGGUCUGCGAUUUAUAUAUUUUUCUAUAUAUUAUUUCAGUUUGUGCUAGCUCCCUUUGAAGCUUGCUCGUUGGAGAAUAAUCCCAGUUAAGGCAUUCUGUUCAAGUGUGAAUGUGGAUUGGGUGAUGGCUCGCCCUCUCAAAGUUCUCUUACCUAUACUAAACUGGUUUUACAGCUUAGACAAUCUCCUGUUUCUUGGAAGACAGCAUGUAUAUUGGAUAUUAGUGAGUGAGAUCAUUUAGUUAUAUGCGUUUCUCUUGUCGAUUUAGAUCUCUCAUGACAGUCUCACUCUCCUUCAUCGCUAAAGUAACCAAUGUACUAACCAAAUGACUAUUAUGAUAUUCAACAGAUUAGCAACUGAUACUUGAACACUGUCCGUGAGAUAUCAAAAUCAAACAUAUAUAGCCACCUUCCAAUUAAAAUUCACCUAAGUUAGUUAAAAUAGUAUAAUUGCAGUGUCACUACAGUUUAGAUGGACGUGUUAUGUCUUUUACAUUCUCAAGCUAUAAGUAUUUGUUUGCUGUAAAACUGCUUUCCUAGAGCCAUUUAUAAAUUAGUGAAAAAUCAAGACAUAGCUCUGUAGAGUAUAGACUGAUGCAAAACAGAACAAGCUCAUUUACACAUCAAAGCUAUAUAAAUACGUUGCAAUGUGAAGUUUUUUAUAGGUUAGUAGGUAGAGUCUUUUAUUAUUUUACAGAUUAGUUAAUCUCAUACAAUUAUUUCAGGGUUGAAAUUUGAAUGCAUUUCCAAGCCAAUAUGGUAAUAUAUAUCAGAUACCAACAGCCACGAAAGAAGUUUAUUACAAUACCAUAAAUUAAGACAUUACAACAGAUAAAGAAGUUUUCGGAGAACACAUCGUGAUACAGACACAUACAUAAGCUUGACAAAUGCUUAGAGAGAUGACAAGAGAAAGUGUUCAACGAACACUUAUAAUGAGUGCUCUGGACUUGUUUCUACCAAACUUUUCCAUGAACCACUCGUGCUUGUGUGAAACGAAGAUAUGUCCGAUCACCAAUCCGCACAAUACACCAGGUCCAUACGCUAUUGCCGCUGCUAUCCAAUUAAUCACUGGCUCCUCGGGUUCUAAUAUUUCCUCUGGUUCUUGUGGUGUAAGGUUCGAGACAUGAGGUUUUCCACAGAUGUCCUCGAGAUUGGAGAGUCUGGGAUUGUCCAUGAAUGAAGAACAAUUUUGGCGCUGAAACUGUGUGCCUUGUGGUAUUGGACCUUCAAGAUUGUUGUGGGCGAAGUUCAUAGUUGACAAAGAGAAGAGCUCAUCAAGAUCUGGGGGGAUCGGACCUGACAGCUGAUUCUUGGAUACAUCUAAUGACUCGAGAAUUGUCAAAUUUGCCAAUGAUUGAGGUAUAUUGCUUGUGAAAGCAUUAUUCGACAAGUUGAGAUAACGUAAUCCUUUCAGC